rnacentral:rRNA from 1 species
GGUUGAUCCUGCCAGUAGUCAUAUGCUUGUCUCAAAGAUUAAGCCAUGCAUGUCUAAGUAUAAACAAGUUUUAUACUGUGAAACUGCGCACAGCUCAUUAUAUCAGCAAUAAUUUAUUUGAUGGUACCUUACUACAUGGAUACCUGCGUAAAGUCCCGACUCUUCUUGGGAAGGGAUGUAUUUAUUAGAUAAAAAACCAAUGGCUUCGGCCUCUUUGGUGAUUCAUAGUAACUGUUCGAAUCGCAUGGCCUCGUGCUGGCGAUAGUUCAUUCAAAUUUCUGCCCUAUCAGCUU